UACGUAGGCAGCAAGCGUUGUUCGGAAUUACUGGGCGUAAAGAGUGUGUAGGCGGUGCUCUAAGUUCGUUGUGAAAUCUCCCGGCUUAACUGGGAGGGUGCGGCGGAAACUGGAGUGCUUGAGCGCGGGAGAGGAAAGCGGAAUUCCUGGUGUAGCGGUGAAAUGCGCAGAUAUCAGGAAGAACACCCGUGGCGAAGGCGGCUCUCUGGAACGCAACUGGACGCUGAGACGCGAAAGCGUGGGGAGCAAACAGG
rnacentral:rRNA from 1 species